rnacentral:rRNA from 1 species
ACCCCUUGAAGACGACGAGGUAGAUAGGGCAGAGGUGGAAGCAUGGCAACAUGUGUAGCUGACUGUUACUAAUCGGUCGAGGGCUUAACCAA